AAUAGAUACCCCGGUAGUCCACGCCGUAAACGGUGGGCACUAGGUGUGGGCGACAUUCCACGUCGUCCGUGCCGCAGCUAACGCAUUAAGUGCCCCGCCUGGGGAGUACGGCCGCAAGGCUAAACUCAAAGGGAAUUGACGGGGGCCCGCACAAGCGGCGGAACAUGUGGCUUAAUUCGACGCAACGCGAAGAACCUUACCAAGGCUUGACAUACACCGGAAACGUCCAGAGAUGGGCGCCCCCUUGUGGUCGGUGUACAGGUGGUGCAUGGCUGUCGUCAGCUCGUGUCGUGAGAUGUUGGGUUAAGUCCCGCAACGAGCGCACCCCUUGUCCCGUGUUGCCAGCAGGCCCUUGUGGUGCUGGGGACUCACGGGAGACCGCCGGGGUCAACGUCGGAGGAAGGUGGGGACGACGUCAAGUCAUCAUGCCCCUUAUGUCUUGGGCUGCACACGUGCUACAAUGGCCGGUACAAUGAGCUGCGAUACCGCGAGGUGGAGCGAAUCUCAAAAACGCCGGUCUCAGUUCGGAUUGGGAUCUGCAACG
rnacentral:rRNA from 1 species